rnacentral:rRNA from 1 species
UACGGAGGGUGCAAGCGUUGUCCGGAAUCACUGGGCGUAAAGGGCGCGUAGGCGGCUCGGUAAGUCGGGGGUGAAAUCCUGCGGCUUAACCGCAGGGCUGCCUUCUAAACUGUCGAGCUUGAGCACGGUAGAGGCAGAUGGAAUUCCCGGUGUAGCGGUGGAAUGCGUAGAGAUCGGGAAGAACAUCAGUGGCGAAGGCGGUCUGCUGGGCCGUUGCUGACGCUGAGGCACGAAGGUCAGGGGAGCAAACGGG